UAGUCGAUGGGAAACAGGUUAAUAUUCCUGUACUUGGUGUUACUGCGAAGGGGGGACGGAGAAGGCUAUGUUAGCCGGGCGACGGUUGUCCCGGUUUAAGCAUGUAGGCUGGUUGUCCAGGCAAAUCCGGAUAAUCAAGGCUGAGGUGUGAUGACGAGGCACUACGGUGCUGAAGUAACAAAUGCCCUGCUUCCAGGAAAAGCCUCUAAGCAUCAGGUAACAUCAAAUCGUACCCCAAACCGACACAGGUGGUCAGGUAGAGAAUACCAAGGCGCUUGAGAGAACUCGGGUGAAGGAACUAGGCAAAAUGGUGCCGUAACUUCGGGAGAAGGCAC
rnacentral:rRNA from 1 species